rnacentral:rRNA from 1 species
AAUCCCGUCUUUGGCACGGAUGCACCAGGGCUUUUGUGAUGCGCUCUCGAAGAGUCGAGUUGUUUGGGAAUGCAGCUCAAAAUGGGUGGUGAACUCCAUCUAAAGCUAAAUAUUGGCGAGAGACCGAUAGCGAACAAGUACCGUGAGGGAAAGAUGAAAAGCACUUUGGAAAGAGAGUGAAACAGUACGUGAAAUUGUUGAAAGGGAAACGCUUGAAGUCAGUCGCGUCGACCGAGACUCAGCCUUGCCUCGGCUCGGUGUACUUCUCGGCCGACGGGUCAGCAUCAAUUUUGCCCCUCGGAUAAUGGCGAGAGAAAGGUGGCACCCUCACGGGUGUGUUAUAGUCUCCCGUCGGAUGCGAGGGUCGGGAUUGAGGAACUCGGCACGUACCGUGCUUAGGAUGUUGGCAUAAUGGCUUUAAACGACCCGUCUUGAAACACGGACCAAGGAGUCUAACAUGCCCGCGAGUGUUCGGGUGGAAAACCCGUGCGCGUAAUGAAAGUAAAAGUUGGGACCCCUGUCGUGGGGGGCACCGACGCCCGGACCAGACCUUCUGUGACGGAUCUGCGGUAGAGCGUGCAUGUUGGGACCCGAAAGAUGGUGAACUAUGCCUGAAUAGGGUGAAGCCAGAGGAAACUCUGGUGGAGGCUCGUAGCGAUUCUGACGUGCAAAUCGAUCGUCAAAUUUGGGUAUAGGGGCGAAAGACUAAUCGAACCAUCUAGUAGCUGGUUCCUGCC